ensembl:lncRNA
AUGAUUUAAGAGUCGUGGCAGACAAUUCCGUCGAUGUAUGCGCAGCUAAUGUUGCAGUUACAGCCACUUAUUGGAUGAAAUAUGAGGGGACGACGGCUUUUGGAGACGGUUUGCAAUCAACAGUUUUCCCCAGUAGUCUACUGUUCGGGCGGGGUAAUCCAUACCGCAGGUUGCUCUACCCCGGAAGGGCUAGGGGUAGCGUUGCUAGGGAGACGAGGAUUUGUUUGGCGAUGGUUUCCCCGGUCCGCUAGCUGUGAGGAGGAUAACACGCCAUUAUAAGAUACUUCCCCUCGUCAAGCAAAAGUGGCCUGUUGGCUCAGAUUAUGAGCGGUUCUGGUCUACGAGCCGGAGAACCCAGAGGCCGUCCAGUUCCUGCCCCUGAUCCAGCAGAAGCUCUUGGAAGACCAAGAGAAGGAGCUCGGUACCGAUGAUGAGGAUGACGACGAUGAGGAGGAAGGAGAUGAUAGUGAUGUAGACACAGACGACUCUGAGUCGUGCGAUGAAGACGAUCACUCUGGAGGCAGUGAAGGCUCGACCCAUGAUUGAAGCUAAUCCUGCCUCAUCCUCAUGAGAUAUUUACCACAUUACAGUUUUAGACAAGCUUGUAUGUAGUGUAAAACUUUCAACAUCUCGCGUCACUUUAGCUUUGCUAAGGGAAUAAAGAAU